UCUCCGUUGGUGAACCAGCGGAGGGAUCAUUACCGAGUUUACAACUCCCAGACCCCUGUGAACAUACCUAUCGUUGCCUCGGCGGUGCCCGCUCCGGCGGCCCGCCAGAGGACCCCCAAACUCUUGUUUUAUACAGUAUCUUCUGAGUAACACGAUUAAAUAAAUCAAAACUUUCAACAACGGAUCUCUUGGUUCUG
rnacentral:misc_RNA from 1 species